rnacentral:rRNA from 1 species
UACGUAGGGCGCAAGCGUUGUCCGGAAUUAUUGGGCGUAAAGAGCUCGUAGGCGGUUUGUCGCGUCUGCUGUGAAAUCCCGAGGCUCAACCUCGGGCUUGCAGUGGGUACGGGCAGACUAGAGUGCGGUAGGGGAGACUGGAAUUCCUGGUGUAGCGGUGGAAUGCGCAGAUAUCAGGAGGAACACCGAUGGCGAAGGCAGGUCUCUGGGCCGCAACUGACGCUGGAGGAGCGAAAGCAUGGGGAGCGAACAGG